rnacentral:rRNA from 1 species
UGCGAAUGCUGACAUAAGUAACGAUAAUGCGGGUGAAAAACCCGCACGCCGGAAGACCAAGGGUUCCUGUCCAACGUUAAUCGGGGCAGGGUGAGUCGACCCCUAAGGCGAGGCUGAAAAGCGUAGUCGAUGGGAAACGGGUUAAUAUUCCCGUACUGGUGGUAACUGCGAUGGGGGAACGGAGAAGGCUAGGUUGUCCGGGCGACGGUCGUCCCGGUUCAAGCAGGUAGGCAGAGUGAUUAGGCAAAUCCGGUCACUUAAUGCUGAGAUGUGAUGACGAGCCACUAAGGUGGUGAAGCAAUUGAUGCCCCGCUUCCAGGAAAAGCCUCUAAGCUUCAGGUUACCAACAAUCGUACCCCAAACCGACACAGGUGGUCAGGUAGAGAAUACUCAGGCGCUUGAGAGAACUCGGGUGAAGGAACUAGGCAAAAUGGUGCCGUAACUUCGGGAGAAGGCACGCUGGCGGUAGGUAAAGUCCCUCGCGGAUGGCGCUGAAGCCAGUCGAAGAUACCAGCUGGCUGCAACUGUUUAUUAAAAACACAGCACUGUGCAAACACGAAAGUGGACGUAUACGGUGUGACGCCUGCCCGGUGCUGGAAGGUUAAUUGAUGGGGUUAGCGCAAGCGAAGCUCCUGAUCGAAGCCCCAGUAAACGGCGGCCGUAACUAUAACGGUCCUAAGGUAGCGAAAUUCCUUGUCGGGUAAGUUCCGACCUGCACGAAUGGCGUAAUGAUGGCCAGGCUGUCUCCACCCGAGACUCAGUGAAAUUGAACUCGCU